UCCCUGAUAGCUCAGUUGGUAAAGAAUCCGCUUGCAAUGCAGGAGACCCCAGUUUAAUUUCUGGGUCAGGAAG
rfam:Ovis aries breed Texel chromosome 10, whole genome shotgun sequence.